GUGCAUUUAUUUAUAUAUUCAAAUUCUCUAGCUAUAUUAGUAUUUUGCUUUGACACCUACAAACAUUUUUAAAAUAUUUUUAUUGAAUAAGCUAUUCAGUUUGUUUCUAUCGCUCACAAUGAUCGCGUUGAAAUUGUUGAUCUCCGGAAUCCUGUUUCUGUUUCUUCUGGGACGAUCCUUCACCAUCCCACAAAAAUUUGACAUGUCGAUAUUUAACAAAUCUUCUCCUGAGAAUCCCAUCUUCCAUACUGCUUGGGGCCAUGUAUAUGUAGAUCCAUGGAAACCAAAAACCACCAAGAAGCCUUAGAGAGGCAAAUACUUGAAAUCUCCUUAUCAACACGCUGUAUAACAAACAAAUUUACCUUUGAUUGCAUGUUCUUUUAAUGUAUAUGUGAUUUAAUAAAAGUAAACUAAUAAAUAAAAUAAUAAAACCGUUUAAUAUAAAAUAAAA